AGAGUUUGAUCCUGGCUCAGAUUGAACGCUGGCGGCAGGCCUAACACAUGCAAGUCGAACGGUAACAGGAAGCAGCUUGCUGCUUUGCUGACGAGUGGCGGACGGGUGAGUAAUGUCUGGGAAACUGCCUGAUGGAGGGGGAUAACUACUGGAAACGGUGGCUAAUACCGCAUAACGUCGCAAGACCAAAGAGGGGGACCUUCGGGCCUCUUGCCAUCAGAUGUGCCCAGAUGGGAUUAGCUUGUUGGUGAGGUAACGGCUCACCAAGGCGACGAUCCCUAGCUGGUCUGAGAGGAUGACCAGCCACACUGGAACUGAGACACGGUCCAGACUCCUACGGGAGGCAGCAGUGGGGAAUAUUGCACAAUGGGCGCAAGCCUGAUGCAGCCAUGCCGCGUGUAUGAAGAAGGCCUUCGGGUUGUAAAGUACUUUCAGCGGGGAGGAAGGUGUUGUGGUUAAUAACCACAGCAAUUGACGUUACCCGCAGAAGAAGCACCGGCUAACUCCGUGCCAGCAGCCGCGGUAAUACGGAGGGUGCAAGCGUUAAUCGGAAUUACUGGGCGUAAAGCGCACGCAGGCGGUCUGUCAAGUCGGAUGUGAAAUCCCCGGGCUCAACCUGGGAACUGCAUUCGAAACUGGCAGGCUUGAGUCUUGUAGAGGGGGGUAGAAUUCCAGGUGUAGCGGUGAAAUGCGUAGAGAUCUGGAGGAAUACCGGUGGCGAAGGCGGCCCCCUGGACAAAGACUGACGCUCAGGUGCGAAAGCGUGGGGAGCAAACAGGAUUAGAUACCCUGGUAGUCCACGCCGUAAACGAUGUCUACUUGGAGGUUGUGCCCUUGAGGUGUGGCUUCCGGAGCUAACGCGUUAAGUAGACCGCCUGGGGAGUACGGCCGCAAGGUUAAAACUCAAAUGAAUUGACGGGGGCCCGCACAAGCGGUGGAGCAUGUGGUUUAAUUCGAUGCAACGCGAAGAACCUUACCUGGUCUUGACAUCCACGGAAGUUUUCAGAGAUGAGAAUGUGCCUUCGGGAACCGUGAGACAGGUGCUGCAUGGCUGUCGUCAGCUCGUGUUGUGAAAUGUUGGGUUAAGUCCCGCAACGAGCGCAACCCUUAUCCUUUGUUGCCAGCGAUUAGGUCGGGAACUCAAAGGAGACUGCCAGUGAUAAACUGGAGGAAGGUGGGGAUGACGUCAAGUCAUCAUGGCCCUUACGACCAGGGCUACACACGUGCUACAAUGGCGCAUACAAAGAGAAGCGACCUCGCGAGAGCAAGCGGACCUCAUAAAGUGCGUCGUAGUCCGGAUUGGAGUCUGCAACUCGACUCCAUGAAGUCGGAAUCGCUAGUAAUCGUGGAUCAGAAUGCCACGGUGAAUACGUUCCCGGGCCUUGUACACACCGCCCGUCACACCAUGGGAGUGGGUUGCAAAAGAAGUAGGUAGCUUAACCUUCGGGAGGGCGCUUACCACUUUGUGAUUCAUGACUGGGGUGAAGUCGUAACAAGGUAACC
rnacentral:rRNA from 2 species